rnacentral:lncRNA from 1 species
CAUGGAUAUUCCAUAAGGUAGAUCAUGAUAUGAUCUAAGAGGGGAAUUGUAGAUGCGAAUAUCCAUUUUGCUCUAUAUCCUAACUGUUCAUGUAAGGGUUAAUUUGAAUCAAGAAUAAAUUUGGAAUUGUAUCUCAUGUCACAAUGACUUAUCUAUUUACGGGAAAUGUUAUUGGAACAUGAUUUUGUUAUUUACAUGACAUGACAUGACAUGAUAAGGAUUCUGGAAUGACCUUGUUAAUUGUCCAAGAUUUCUGUAUUUGUAAUCAUCUGGGUUUUAUCCAAUAUGCAUACAUUAUGUAACAUCGAAUUAUAACUAAAAACAGCUGUUUAUAACUUGUGAAAAACAAUGUCAUUGUCACGCCCAUAUGGUCAUUUUUCCCCCUCCCAUCCUGCUAUGAAAAUGGGUUAUAAAUAUAACUGACGUAUGAAUACAAUUUGAAUUGGUUAUUGAACACGUCUCUGCUAUUCAUUUCCAAUUUCCAGAGCUCUGUAUGAGUUGGCAAAUAUCCAUCAUCCACAAAGGGCCCAGGCUGAUUUUAUCCCCAACACCUUCCU